rnacentral:rRNA from 1 species
GUGGGGAAUCUUAGACAAUGGGGGAAACCCUGAUCUAGCCAUGCCGCGUGAGCGAUGAAGGCCUUAGGGUUGUAAAGCUCUUUCAGAGGGGAAGAUAAUGACGGUACCCUCAGAAGAAGCCCCGGCUAACUCCGUGCCAGCAGCCGCGGUAAUACGGAGGGGGCUAGCGUUGUUCGGAAUUACUGGGCGUAAAGCGCACGUAGGCGGACCAGAAAGUCAGGGGUGAAAUCCCGGGGCUCAACCCCGGAACUGCCUUUGAAACUCCUGGUCUUGAGGUCGAGAGAGGUGAGUGGAAUUCCGAGUGUAGAGGUGAAAUUCUUAGAUAUUCGGAGGAACACCAGUGGCGAAGGCGGCUCACUGGCUCGAUACUGACGCUGAGGUGCGAAAGCGUGGGGAGCAAACAGGAUUAGAAACCCUGGUAGUCC